CAUGUCUUUUGUAUUAAAGAAUUAAAUGGAUGAAAUAUGAAGUUUUAUUAAAAGAAAAAGGGGUGAAAAGAACAAAGUUUUGUCCAUCUUUGUUCAUCAUAGCUGAAAGUUAGAGAAGAGAAAGGAGGGGAGAAAGCUCUUGAGUAUUCGGUCAUUAGGAGGAGGAAAAUUGAAGGCAGUUCGUGUGUGGAUCUCGUCAGCAUAUCGUCGGAAAUAGGAAAUCCCCAACCAUAGUGGGCUUGGAGCUGUGAGGGAAUUCGGAGUGGCCACCCGUUCUGAAAGUUUGAUUUUCUUCUGGUGAACUGGACAUCCUUUUAUUUACGUUUGAAGUUGUUGGGCUUUUAAAUGUAAUAAGGCCGCUUAAUUAUUUUUGAUGGUUUUAAUAUGUAUUACUAAGAUAGGUAAUACUUAUUUUAACUGUUAAAA